AUUGAACGCUGGCGGCAGGCCUAACACAUGCAAGUCGAGCGGAUGAAGGGAGCUUGCUCCUGGAUUCAGCGGCGGACGGGUGGGUAAUGCCUAGGAAUCUGCCUGGUAGUGGGGGAUAACGUCCGGAAACGGGCGCUAAUACCGCAUACGUCCUGAGGGAGAAAGUGGGGGAUCUUCGGACCUCACGCUAUCAGAUGAGCCUAGGUCGGAUUAGCUAGUUGGUGGGGUAAAGGCCUGCCAAGGCGACGAUCCGUAACUGGUCUGAGAGGAUGAUCAGUCACACUGGAACUGAGACACGGUCCAGACUCCUACGGGAGGCAGCAGUGGGGAAUAUUGGACAAUGGGCGAAAGCCUGAUCCAGCCAUGCCGCGUGUGUGAAGAAGGUCUUCGGAUUGUAAAGCACUUUAAGUUGGGAGGAAGGGCAGUAAGUUAAUACCUUGCUGUUUUGACGUUACCAACAGAAUAGGCACCGGCUAACUUCGUG
rnacentral:rRNA from 1 species